rnacentral:lncRNA from 1 species
GGGGAAUCCUGUCUGACCAAGUGCCCAUUGUAAUGGACAGAUUUUUCACUCAGAGAAGAUCCUCUCUUCACUUUUCCAACACAAGUCUUCCUCAGUGAAUUCCUGGGUUCUCCAGUGGUGAAACAGACAGAAGGAGAAAGCACGACAUCACAGAAGGAUGUGGACACUGAGCCCCAGAAACAAGAUCCAGUAGAAAGAACGAGUUGUGAUGUUGAGUCUGCUAGACAGGUUCUUGGAGCAAGAGUGAAGAGAUCGGGUCCCAUCAUUGGGACACUUUAGGUAAGUCACCACUCUUCCCU